GGCUUGUCCUAGUGCAGUGGUGUUUACAACUCAUUGAUCACAACCAGUUACAGAUUUCUUUGUUUCUUCUUCAGUCCCACUGCUUCACUUGGGUAGCCUUUA
ensembl:misc_RNA Y_RNA Y RNA